rnacentral:lncRNA from 1 species
AGACAAACAAAAGAAUUAAGUAGGAGGAUAGUGGGAGGAGGGGUGUGACAUCGGUGGUCUUGCUUGGCUUUUCUAAAGAAACAAUAUUUAAGCCAAGAAUUUGAAAUAUGUGAAAUCAACCAUGAAAAGAAAAAAAAUAUUUGGGAAAAGGUCGGUUGUUCCAGGUAGAGAAGCGCACAUGGGCACAGACUCUGCGAUCACAAAACUGAUGACCUGGGAGAACCGAAAUGAGACCAGUGCGGCUGGAACUUGGUGGGAGAGCUGAGCACGCCUGGAGGGAGGCAGGGGUCGUGCACUCGGUAUGUCCACUGAGCUGAGUCUCAGGAACUGUCCUAGGAAGGACACAGCCGUGAGCCAAAGGACCCAGUUCCUCAGGUUUUUCUGAUGGAGAUGGAUAGAGGGUGAACAAACAAGACAAAGUGAAUCGUAACUUCGGGGAGUAAUAGUUGCCUCUGAGGAAAUAGAGCAAGUUCUAAAGAGAAAGAGAUGGAGUCUUAAUUAAGAAACGUUAUUUGAGGCAGGCCAUUCUGAGGAGGUUAUAUUUUAAAAGAGACAUAAAUUGAGAGAAUCAUCCAUACAGAAUCUAUGAAAACAGAUUUUAUGACAAAGAAUACAAGAGCAAAGGAAAUAAGGCAAGUAAUGGCUUUGUCUUCUCCGAGCAUCUGUGUCAAGAUCCUUCAAAUUCUGUUCAAGCUUCCUUGAUAAAUUGUUAACCGAAGUCUGUUGUCCAUGGCUUCAAUUGUUACUUCUAGUGCAGGAUAAAUUAAUAUCACAGAACUUAUACAAAUCUUUUUGCACAUUGGGGAAUUUGAUGAGAGAAGUUUCAGGAGAGCAAUGCAAGCAAAAGCCUAAUUGGAGAGGAGUCAAGGAAAUGAGAAAAGAGGAAGCAGAGCCAAGGAUUACACACAUCUUUUGAAGAGUUUUGCUUUCAAGAGGAGGAAAGGGAAUAUGGAAUCGAGGGAGUUUUUUUUGUUGUUGUUUGUUUUUGCUUCUUAAGAUGGAAAUAUGACAACAUGUUAAAGAAUAUAAUCAUGCAGAGGGGAAUGCAAGACAAGGAAGAGUGGCUAAGUGGAACGAAGUCCUCACCUAGGCAAGACAGGAUGGACUCCAGUGGGCAAGGGUGGGUUUAACCUUAGCAUGGAAGUUUAUCUUUGGUCAAACAAGACUUUGUAGAAAAGUAUAAGGAAUUUGAACUUAAUGGACUAGAAAUCAAGACAAAUUUUAAGAACUGGUUGGAAAGUGGGACAUCCAUUUUGGAAAAUUAAGCUAUGGUACAACUUUUGGUAACCACAAGUUCCAGAAGAUAACAACCACAGGAGCCGUUGAGAGAGAGUAGAAGAAAAUGCCAUUGGAAUGGAGAAAUAAAGAGAAAGAAAGACCAGAUCCUGGAUGGGCACACGAAUGUUGAUACUGCUAAGAAUGAUGUUGCCUGGGAGGGGGGAGCAGGUUUAUAAGACAGAAGCUCAUUAAUGACUGAAAUAACAAUGAGUAUUGGUAGGCGACAUAAAGAAGAAGGUUGAAAGGUUAAGAGGCGUCGUGGCUGAUGUGAUCCAGUCUCCCUCCCUGGUUCCCCCGUUGGAUGUAAUCUACCGCCCUGACGGCUCAGACCCUCCGAUUCUCCCAGUUCCCCUGCAGUUUGCCUUCCUUGGCAACGACUCCACUGGAACAACACCAGCUUUACUCCGGGCCCCGGUGCUUGGCAAACUUAAGUUUCCUGCUCUCUGUAGACGGCUUUUCUGAAAUACGACCCUGGCUGAGCUGCAGACUGUGUUUGUGAUCUCGUGAAGAAUUUGCCCUCAGUAAGAGUGGCUACUGGCGAACUGUGCGGCAGCCCCACGGCCCUUCUAGAGUUGGGCGUAUUCCUCCUCAGUUGACGCUGUACCUAUUUCUGGGCCCAGAUCUUCAGGAUGUGUUCUGAUGCCUGCCAUCUAGAGGGCGCGAAGAACAACUUUAUGCCUUUUUUUGGGUGAACUUAAUUCAGAAUUUAUAUGCUGACUGACGGACAAAGCAGAACUCCUUUUUGAGCCUUUAGUGUAUGAGCACCAUGCAGUUUAUGAUAACAUGUACAUCUCUCUGCUUCUCUUCUCCACACUUACCCUUCAGCUCUGUGGUCCACGCGAUCUCAAUGACACUUUUCCACAAGGCUACUAAUAAGGGCUUCUCAGAAAAUAUAAUGGAUGGUUUGUAGUUCUUACUUCACUUGACUUCUCAGGAGUAUUUACCAACAUUGGCCAUUUUCUCUGCUGUGGUCUGAAUGUUUGUGUCCCCCCCCAAAUUCAUAUGUUUAAAGCCUAAUGCCCAACAGGAUGAUAUUAGAAGGUGGGGGUCUUCAGAGGUGAUUAGGUCGUGAGGCUGGGGCCCUCGUAAAUGGGAUUAGUGCUCUCAUGAAAGAGACCCCACAGAGCUCCUUAACCCCUUCUGCCUUGUGAGACACAAUGAGAAGUUGCAACCAGAAGGAGAGCCCUCACUCUGUGGUGCUGGCACCCGACCUCAGACCUCCAGUUUCCAGGACUGUGGGAAUAAGCAUCUGCUGUUCUGAGACACUCAGCCUAUGGCGUUUUCCUAUAGCGGGUUGAACAGACUAAGAUGUUCUCUUUAAAAACUUUCUUUUCUUCCUUUUUUGAUAUAUCAGUCUCCUAAUUUUCUUCCUAUUCCUCUGGAAUCUCCUUAAAGGUAUUUUUACCUGUUUCUAUCCCUCGAUUACGUGAAUUCUUCCACUUGAAGUUCUCAUAUGGUCAAAUUUUAUCCAUGCUCUCUGAGCAAUCUCAUCCAGUCCUGCCCCCUAAAUCACCACAGCUUUGCUGAACUCGCCCCUUCUCCCAGACAUUCUCCACAGGAAGUCCAUGUAUCCUGCUGGGUCUGAACAUCACCACUCGAAUCCUUGCAAAGAUCUGUGACUGAUCUUAACGCCUCUUCCCAACACUGCUUUCCUCCAGCGUUUCUCGUCUCAGUAAUGGCAUUACAUCCAGUUGCCCAAACGGGAUGCCUGUGGGUAAUUGUCCUUCUCCUUUACUGUCCUGCUCACCAGUAAAUUCCCAGGUCUUCAAAUUUUAUCUCCUCAAUGCCUGAAACCUACCUCCUUCCCUUUACUUGACUUUCACUCAUGGCUGAACCCAGGUUGCCAGCACAUUUUGCCUGAAUUACUCCCACGGUUUGGUAACUGCUUUUCCUUCUAACCAUAUCUGUGACCGUGUCGCUCUUUCAAAAUCAAUUUGAGACCCUUUGGGUUUCCUCGUAACCUCAGGAUACAGUUCUUCAUCGGGGACACAAAGGACCUUCCUGCACACCUUUCCAGGUUCUACUUAGCACUCAUUGCUCCCUGUGCAACCAGGUGUCUUACACACACACACACAGGCGCACACAUGCACAUACACACACACGCACACACGGGCCGCUCUCCCUCCUGCUCACUGGCUGGUUAGCUUCCACUGAUCUUUCACAUGUUGACUUGCAUGUGAAUUCCCUGGAGAAAACAUUCUUUGAUUCAUUGAGGCCCCUCCCACGUGCCAAGGAAGUGUUCUGGAAUGCUUCCUUCCGGGGAACUUACUUCAACAACUGUGCUUGCUUUAAACAAUCUCCCAACAGAUGGUCAGCUCAGUGAGGGCGGGCACAUAUCUCACUUCUUCACGCUCCUGUUUCUGGUUUCCAGCUCAGUUACAGACACUGAAUACUUAACAAAGCUACUUUUUUUUAAGCAAAUUGAGGAAUUGAUAUACUUUCCCAAAUAAUUAAGAUUUACACAAAAGCCCAUAAAAGUCUUCACUUCUUACUGAGGAAAGAAAAGCCACAGUCUUCAAAUUACAUUAUCCUACAAGAAUCUACACGAUCUAGUCCUCCCAUUGUUUGCCUUUUGCUUUUUGUGAGUUAUUUCCCUAGAUUUGUUUCCUUUGCUCGUUCCCAGAGCAGCCUCCUGGCCUUUCUCACGUGCACCAGUCACUUCCUUUAAGGUGGUCUUAUCUGUGGCUGUUCCCUCCGACUGGAAUGCUGUUCCCUUUGACAGCCACCUAACGUUCUCCCUCAGCUGCUUAAGACCUCUGUCUGUAUCUCAGCUUCUCAACAAGGUGUCUCCUGGCCCACUAUUUAAAAUCGCAACUCAUACUCCCCAAAACCCGGCAGAAAUGUGUGUAGUGUCUCUGAUUUAUUUUCCUCACUAGCAAUUAUCAACCUCUAAUUUACCAUAUUUUGCUGUGUGUUUGGUUUAUUUUAUAAACUCUCCCGCCUCCUUUAGAAUGUAAGCUGUCUGUGGGCAGUGGGAUUUUUCUCUGUUUAUUCACUGCUAUGUCCCUGGUGUCUGAACACGCUUGCCCUCAUUGAAUAAAUGAGUAAAUUAAUAAUAAAUAAAUAUCUAAUAACAUAAGUAACAAGUUGGUAAGGCUUUGAAUAAGUACUGACAGGGUAGUUUUAGCCUGUACAUAGAUAUGUCCUUUAAUACUUUUAAAAAUAUUCUCUUUUAAACACGAUUUGUGCUGUUUCGGGAAACAUUGUCACAGGCC